ACAAAAUAGUUGUUUUUAAAAUUGUUUAAGUUUAUAAAUUUUAAAUGUUACAGUAGGCUAAGGUUAAUUGUUGAGUAAAUAAAAAUAGAUUUCUAUAAAUUUAGGGUAGUCUAAAGAUACAAUGUUCAUAAAGUCUAUAGUAGUGUACAGUAAGGUCCUAGGCCUUCACAUUCACUCACCAUUCACUCACCGAAUCAUCCAGAGCAACGUCCAGUCCUUUAAGCUCUGUUCAUGGUAAAGUGCCCUAUACAGAUGUACUAAUUUUUAUAUUUUAUACCAUAUUUUAUUGUAGCUUUUCUAUAUUUAGAUUUUAGAUAUAUAAAUGCUUACCGUUUUGUUACCUUUGCCUGCAGUAUUCAGUACAGUUACAUGUUGUACAGUUUGAAGCCCAGAGCAAUUGGCUGUAUCAUACAGCCUAGGUGUAUAGGGGGCUAUGCCAUCCAGGUUUAUGUAAGUGCACUCUAUGAUGUCUGCGUAAUUACUACAUCACUUAACGAUGCAUUUCUCAGAACACAUCACUGUCGUUAAGAGACACAUGUCUGUACAAAUGACUUUGGAGAAUAUGCUUUCAGUUCACUUGGAGCAUUCCUGGGUGUGGAUUUGCUGGACCAAAUGGUAAGUUCAAAUUUAAUUUUUUUUAAGAAACAAGAAAGCUAUCUUCUAAAUUAGCUGUGCCAAUGUACAUUUCUACCGUGCUGCAUAGUACCAAUUUCAUACAGUGUAUGAAAUUGGUACACUGUAUGGUAAGCCCUAGCAUGUAAGAAAUGAAUAAAGUAACACAUAUAAAGAUUAGUAUAAAGCAAAUGAGAUUAUUAUUGUUGUUAUUGUCUUUGUCAGAUUCUCAGAAUAAUUAAGAAUAUAUUUUUAUAUAAAUGUGCUUGGCAACAUAGCUGAAAACAGCGUUAGUAGUUAUAUACUUUUAUCAGUAACAAAGACAUAAAUUUUCCGGGAGAAAAACACUUGUAAUAACAAUGUCAGAAUUAACAUACAAAUUCUGCAAAACAUUUUUGGCAGUUUAAUUGGGGCAGUGUUUUGUAGACAAAUGAACAACUUAAGUAAGGGGAAUCAACAAAACUUGGGUUUCAAAAGUUAUCUGGGUUUAGAGUGUGAAACUUCGUCGGAGGACACACACCUUGCGUGAAUGAGAUGCCUCGGUGUGUGUGGACAUGUUGGAGGUACAGCAUAAUGGUGGCUUCCUCCAGAAAGGGACAUUUGGGGGAGCACCAAUGGCUCCUGUCUCACAGUGGAUUCAUUCCACCUAGACAACACAGCCUGAUGUGGCAUGGACAUGAAUGGAGGUCAAAUGGGCAGUAGCUGAGAGGAUCAGCCCUGACAAGGGCCAGGGUGAAAGACCUGGGAGUCUCUUCAGGUGCAAAGUCUUCAGUUGAAAAAAGGAGGUGGUCACAGGAGAUACUGAGCUGGAUCAAUAAAGUGCAGGAGAGAGAGUUGUUGGCCCUGGGGAGCGAGUAGUAUGGACUCUUAAGUUUUCUCCUCCUUCCAUUAAUUUCUCUUCCAGUGCAGACUUCAGUCUUAGACUUCCCAGCUGCCUUGAGGGAUUGGAUGAGCCUUGGCCAGCUCUUGAAGGAAACAAUAAAAUCACUUUAAUGUGCUACUUUUCAUUUUGAAGUCAUUACAGUAUCAUUUGCAAAACUCAACAAGGAAAGAUGCCUGUGGAUGGCCGUGUUCUGGGAGUCACUGUGAUGAGGUGCUGCCUGCUUUCGCCCAACCUGAUCUGGGGCUCAGACAGCUAACAGGCCCGAGUGGCUAGGAGCCAGGUUCUCACACGUCCCUGAGGAACUAGAGAGGAACGCCUCUGGGAAGCCCAGCCAGAGCCAACCGGAAGGGCCUUUUGGUGAAGUCUGACAUCCUACAUUAGUUUCUCUGGACCUGGAGCUCCCUGGAUAAAUCAUGAACAGAAGCAUCUAUGACCGACAGUUGCUCUGUGUCCUUCUAGCCUCGCAGGAGUUUCCAGCUCAUGAGGGCAGAGGAGAUGAAGAGAGGCCGAUCGACGUGAGGGUUGUGCAGGCGGCCCCUCUGAGGUGUGACUCCAGUAAGUACUCUGGAAUUACUUGCUGAGAAAGAAAAGUCUGGAUGCCAAGAAAGGUGUGACAUCCUUGCUGGCUUCAAUGUGAAGAGCCACCCUGAUUCUGGGAUUCUGAUAGGAAUAAGGAUGAUGCAUAUCUGAACCUGGAAACCGCUUCCCACUGUAGAGCGUGUCUGAGUCAUGUCCCUUAGCUUCAGCAGAGCAGAUCCAGCAGGCUCUGAGCUUGGCCUCUUUGCCUGGAGCGAGACCUCUAGGUAAUGUCUCCAGAGAGGGUGGCACAAAGGAUCCUGGAUCUCCUGAUCACAGCAGCCCAAGAGUGCCGUGCGUGCACCAUGGCUCAAGAAGAAGACUUAAAAAGGGGAAA
rnacentral:lncRNA from 1 species